AGCAUUGUCGCUUGGGGUUUGGCAUUCAUUCUUAUUACUGAAAAAUUGUAAUGCACCUGUGCGUAUUGUAAAUGCUUCAAGUAGUGUUGAUGCUUGUUUGCCAAAAUGCGAUGUAACAGAGAUGACGGUCUUCUUCAAUUUGUCUUUAUAUUUUUUUAGGUCACACUGCCACUGAUUCAGCACCGUUGUAUUUUCCAGAAGGUAAAGGCAGUGACAUGUUGCUUUGAAAUUUCACAAUUUAUCGUUUAUCUCACGUUGCAAAUGCACCUUCAAGUUCCGAAUGUGACGCACUGCCAGCUUGUUCAACAGCUUGUUCAGCAGGUGCGGAAACCACCCAUGAAUCGAGCUGCCAGCCAUUUCAAGCUUUGACGGUGCCUGUUGAGUCUCAGCAGAACUUUUGUGCUGCCUGUGGAGGAUUUCUGUCUCCUGAGGGCACAGCUGAUGUUACCGGUAAGUGUUCAGUGCUACUGUUCUCACACACUAUGCAAUAUACACUUGAGUCUGACACAUUGCCGCUUACAGGAAAUUACGUGCACGCUCCUAACAGAUUGAUAUAUUGGUGCAUUUAAUAGUGCGGAUGCCCUACAAGUACUGGUGCCCUGUUUUGUUUCUUUUGCUGUAUGCUCCUUCUUGUAAAGCGAGAGUAGUCGCACACAACAUAACUUUAUUGGAGGAACAUGUAAGCUGUGAUUUGUGUAGAGUAAUGCAUAGUACAUUGCUACACACUGCGCAGCAUCAUCACUCUAUCACUUGUGACACGCAAUCAGCUACCGUCUUGUAGCAACUCUGUCAAAAAAAGCUGCAACAGUGGAACCAUGGCACUCUCCCCACUUUGUUUGAAAUAACCACCGCCAUUGAUAACCCUACGUCAUAACCGAGAGUA